rnacentral:tRNA from 1 species
GUAAAUCUGUUGGCUUUGCCUUCGCAGGUUCGAAUCCUGCUCUCCCCAUAUCAUAUAUAGCGGAAGUAGCUCAGUUGGUAGAGC